UACGAAAGGGGCUAGCGUUGUUCGGAAUUACUGGGCGUAAAGCGCACGUAGGCGGCCUUGUAAGAUGGGGGUGAAAUCCCCGGGCUCAACCCGGGAACUGCCUUCAUGACUGCAAAGCUAGAGGAUGCGAGUGGUUAGCGGAAUUCCGAGUGUAGAGGUGAAAUUCGUAGAUAUUCGGAAGAACACGAGUGGCGAAGGCGGCUAACUGGCGCAUUUCUGACGCUGAGGUGCGAAAGCGUGGGGAGCAAACAGU
rnacentral:rRNA from 1 species